UACGGGGGGGCAAGCGUUGUUCGGAAUUACUGGGCGUAAAGGGCUCGUAGGCGGCCAACUAAGUCAGACGUGAAAUCCCCAGGCUCAACCUGGGAACUGCGUCUGAUACUGGAUGGCUUGAAUCCGGGAGAGGGAUGCAGAAUUCCAGGUGUAGCGGUGAAAUGCGUAGAGAUCCGGAAGAACACCUGAGGCGAAGGCGGCUUGCUGGGCAUGAUCUGACGCUGAGGCGCGAAAGCGUGGGGAGCAAACAGG
rnacentral:rRNA from 1 species